GGAAGACUUAAGAUGGCGGCGUUUGCACGGAGUGCAAUCACUGCGUCCUUACGGGGGUUGCAAGGCGUCCGAAGUAUGAGUCCACUAACAAAAGUCCAGAAACUCGCCAGUUAAUAGUAUUGUGUCUCUUCAAAAUAUCGGAGAAUAAUUUCUUUCUCGCUGAUCGCCUAACUUCUACUGACGAAGCUUGGAAGUUGCAGAAGACAUGAUGUAUUGAGUAAAAGGAACUUCGGUACACAGGCCUUUAGUGAUGUGGUGGUAAGAUGUAUGAUGGAGUUCGCUCUUGUUGCCCAGGCUGGAAUGCAAUGGCAUGACCUUGGCUCACUGCAACCUCUGCCUCCCCAGUUCAAGUGGUUCUCCUGCCUCAGCCUCCCGAGUAGCUGAGAUUACAGGCUGGAGUGCAGUGGCGCAAUCUCGGCUCUCUGCAACCUUCACCUCCCGUGUUCAAGUGAUUCUCCUGCCUCAGCCUCCUGAAUACCUGAGAUUACAAGCAUGCACCACCACGCCCGUCUAAUUUUGUAUUUUCACUAGAGACGGGGUUUCUCCAUGUUGGUCAGGCUGGUCUCGAACUCCCGACCUCAGGUGAUCCGCCCGCCUCAGCCUCCCAAAGUGCUGGGAUUACAGGCAUGAGCCACCGCGUCCAGCAAGAAUAGGUGAUUUUCAAACUUGGAAACAUUCAGAAGUUAUCGCCUCAGUUUCAGAUUGAGUAGUCUCAAAGAGAUUACAGACAUCUACCACAAAUUCUCUACUUGGUGUGGUGCAAAAUCAGUAUGAUGUAAACUUUGUCUCUCAGUUUCUUCAAAGGAAAGAAGCAACUGGAACACACAUAUAACACUAACCCUUCCAGCUGCAUUAUGAGGGACCAGUACCUGUCUCAAGGCAAAAUUAUGACUUAGUUCAUCCUCACCUCUGGAGGCCAGUAAAAGUGGGUUAUAGAAGAACAAAGAGGCAUCUAGAUCUUUCACUGGGUUAUUUGGAGAGAAACAUCUCCUACCGAAGGCCAGUUUAACAAGACUGGUAGAGGAGGUUAUCUUAUCUAAUUCACAGAAAUCAACACAUUGAGUCAAGAAAAAUGAAACACAGAAACACUCUAAAUAAAAGAAGAUAAGUCUUCAGAAACCAACCCUAAUGAAAUGAAGAUAUGUGAUUAACCUGACAGGAAAUUAAAAAGAGCAACCAUAAAGAGUCUCAUGGGAGCAAUGCAUGAACAAACUGAGAAUUUUCAUAAAGAAAUAAAAGAUAACAAAAA
rnacentral:lncRNA from 1 species